AUUGAACGCUGGUGGCAGGCCUAACACAUGCAAGUCGAACGAGUGGCGCGCGGGUGAGUAAUGUCUGGGAACCUGCCUGAUGGAGGGGGAUAACUACUGGAAACGGUAGCUAAUACCGCAUACCAUCAGAUGUGCCCAGAUGGGAUUAGCUGGUUGGUAGGGUAACGGCUCACCAAGGCCACGAUCCAUAGCUGGUCUGAGAGGAUGACCAGCCACACUGGAACUGAGACACGGUCCAGACUCCUACGGGAGGCAGCAGUGGGGAAUAUUGCACAAUGGGCGCAAGCCUGACGCAGCCAUGCCGCGUGUAUGAAGAAGGCCUUCGGGUUGUAAAGCACUUUCAGCGGGGAGGCGGUACCUGCAGAAGAAGCACCGGCUAACUCCGUGCCAGCAGCCGCGGUAAUUC
rnacentral:rRNA from 1 species